CACUAAAAGAGAUUGAGUUAUCCUGUUAGAAUCUGGUUAAUAGUUUAGAAGUGUGAAUAUGAUGAGAACAAUAUGAAAAUAAUAAGUUAUAUAGUGUAUACAGCUUUUAUAUGAAUCUUACUCAUAUACACCACAAGCACAAACCACUUUAUCAUUUAACAUGUUGUUUUUAUAGAUUUAUAGUAACCUGUUAUUUUACUUAUGUUACAUUUUAUUCUUUAAUAAUAUGUUUUUAUUGAAUUGUACAUGAACUUUACAUGUCAAAGCCUUUUAAAGAUAAAUAUUUCUGGCAGUAGUCCACGUGUGACCAUAAUGCUGCUCAUACGCGCACAGACGGGAACGUUUCUUAGCUUUCUACUUAAGGACAUACAAUAGACUUUGAUUUGUUUUUCUAUAGUUUUAUAUAAAGCUAAAUAUAAUUACUAUAACCCAAACCCUAUAAACAAUCUGAAAGGGGAAUUUUACCCAAAAUUUUAAAUUCUGCCAUUAUUCACUUAGUAGCAACAUGAUGGUGAGGAAUAAAUGACAGGACGUACAUUUUUGCUGAACUGCCCCUUUAAUGUGCAUGUGCCAGUGUUUGAGGGCAUAAGAGGAAGUGGAGCUUUUAUAUGAUUAUUUUUCAAAGGGUCUGAGCAGGAAGUGUCCAUCAUCUCACCGAGAGUUGCCAUGUUUUCCACCUGGAGCAAACUGAAAACCACAAAAUAAACAUGAGAGCGAUUAAACAUCAAUCUGUUUCACCUGAACUGUGAAAUUACAUUCAAGCGAGCCAUUUUAAUAAUGUUGUUUCCCUCAGAAGGUGCAACUAUGUGUGAAAGUUUCUGCAACUGUACAAAGGGAAUUGAAGGAGGUAAGCAUUGAGGAAGUUAAUGAUUGGUUUAUGUUGCUGAAACAUUCACUGCAGAUUAAUUAGUUAAAAGUUUAAACUGGCCUAAUGCCAGGGUUAAAAAACAUGGUAACCCAGGGUUGAGUGCAGUGUGAAUAACCGGUCACAAACAGUAUUUCUGAUCAUAUUAUGUCUAAUCAAUACAGACCUCAUUGAAUAUGCAUACAGGUUGAAUAGACUUCUGUGUGACCAUGGUUACUGUUUCACUUACAGCUUCAAACAGACACAACUGUGUGCCAAGUCAUUCAGAGAGUCACACACAUGCAGGCCAAAAAGAAGCUUUAAGCAGACCUUUUUGUGAAACUCACAUAUCUGUGUGUGUGUAUUCAUAUGUUGAGUGACAUUAUCAAUCACAAGUCGAUCAUAAGUAUAUCCACAUGAUGACAUGCACAGAUGCUGAACUCACAGAGAUCAUGUGAAGGUAACAGAGAACUGAAACACAAAAGCUGCAUGUCUCAUCAUUAGUGGAUCAUGACUGCGCAUAAACAUUUAAAAAAAUACUUAACUAUGUUUUCCUUUCGUGAGCCAAAAAUGUCACAGAAGCACCACAAAAUGAUAUGGUUGCUUCAGCAAUUGAGUUUUAGGUUUAAGGACACUAUUGGUUAGGUUUAUGUUUAAGGACACUAUUGGUUAGGUUUAAGGACACUAUUGGUUAGGUUUAAGGACACUCUCGGUUAGGUUUAAGGACACUAUUGGAUAGGUUUAAGGACACUAUUGGUUAGGUUUAUGUUUAAGGACACUAUCAGUUAGGUUUAAGGACACUAUCGGUUAGGUUUAUGUUUAAGGACACUCUCGGUUAGGUUUAAGGACACUAUUGGUUAGGUUUAUGUUUAAGGACACUCUUGGUUAGGUUUAAGGACACUAUCGGUUAGGUUUAUGUUUAAGGACACUCUCGGUUAGGUUUAAGGACACUAUUGGAUAGGUUUAAGGACACUAUUGGUUAGGUUUAAGGACACUAUCGGUUAGGUUUAUGUUUAAGGACACUCUUGGUUAGGUUUAAGGACACUAUUGGUUAGGUUUAUGUUUAAGGACACUCUCGGUUAGGUUUAAGGACACUAUUGGUUAGGUUUAUGUUUAAGGACACUAUCAGUUAGGUUUAAGGACACUAUCGGUUAGGUUUAUGUUUAAGGACACUCUCGGUUAGGUUUAAGGACACUAUUGGUUAGGUUUAUGUUUAAGGACACUCUUGGUUAGGUUUAAGGACACUAUCGGUUAGGUUUAUGUUUAAGGACACUCUCGGUUAGGUUUAAGGACACUAUUGGAUAGGUUUAAGGACACUAUUGGUUAGGUUUAAGGACACUAUCGGUUAGGUUUAUGUUUAAGGACACUCUUGGUUAGGUUUAAGGACACUAUCGGUUAGGUUUAUGUUUAAGGACACUCUCGGUUAGGUUUAAGGACACUAUUGGUUAGGUUUAUGUUUAAGGACACUCUUGGUUAGGUUUAAGGACACUAUCGGUUAGGUUUAUGUUUAAGGACACUCUCGGUUAGGUUUAAGGACACUAUUGGAUAGGUUUAAGGACACUAUUGGUUAGGUUUAAGGACACUAUCGGUUAGGUUUAUGUUUAAGGACACUCUUGGUUAGGUUUAAGGACACUAUCGGUUAGGUUUAUGUUUAAGGACACUCUCGGUUAGGUUUAAGGACACUAUUGGUUAGGUUUAUGUUUAAGGACACUCUUGGUUAGGUUUAAGGACACUAUCGGUUAGGUUUAUGUUUAAGGACACUCUCGGUUAGGUUUAAGGACACUAUUGGAUAGGUUUAAGGACACUAUUGGUUAGGUUUAAGGACACUAUCGGUUAGGUUUAUGUUUAAGGACACUCUUGGUUAGGUUUAAGGACACUAUCGGUUAGGUUUAUGUUUAAGGACACUCUCGGUUAGGUUUAAGGACACUAUUGGAUAGGUUUAAGGACACUAUUGGUUAGGUUUAAGGACACUAUCGGUUAGGUUUAUGUUUAAGGACACUCUUGGUUAGGUUUAAGGACACUAUCGGUUAGGUUUAUGUUUAAGGACACUCUCGGUUAGGUUUAAGGACACUAUUGGUUAGGUUUAUGUUUAAGGACACUCUCGGUUAGGUUUAAGGACACUAUUGGUUAGGUUUAUGUUUAAGGACACUCUCGGUUAGGUUUAAGGACACUAUUGGUUAGGAUUAAGGACACUAUCAGUUAGGAUUAAGGACACUAUCGGUUAGGUUUAGAAUUUUUGAUCUAUCUCUCUUUCCUGUCCUUCCUACCUACCUACCUGGCUGUCUGUCUGUCUAUCUAUCUAUCUGUCUGUCUUUUUAUAAAUUUUUUGGCUUCUGUCUGUCUAUCUACGUUUCUGCCUGCCUGCCUGUCUGUCUGUCUGUCUAUCUGUCUGUCUUUUUAUAAAUUUUUUGGCUUCAAAAUUAUAUUCCUUUCUUAAACUUAAAUUACUUUGAUAUUUUAUUAUGUAAUUUAAAUACAUUCAGACAUGCAUGUUUGACGCAAGUGAACAAACACUUUUUAGGACUACUGUAUAAAUAUUAAUCUCAGACAUAGACACUUGUAAAUACCUUCUUGAGUUGCCAAGAUGCAUUUGUGUUGAUGUUGGAAAAUAUCUGAUGCCAUAUGUAUCAUUUCAUGUGUGUGUGUGUUUUAUGGUAGUCUCUCUCUCUCUCUCCCUCUCUCUCUCUCUCGCUCUAGUUAUAGUCAAAUUAGUGAAAAAUUCCUUCGUCUUUCCUUCUUUGGCCUUUCCCAUGACCAGCGCAGUGUGUGUCUGGAAGGAAUACAACCUCAUCAACUUCCAUCAGUCCAUUCACAACUGAUUGUCGGUUCAACAGAGUCAUCUUGUCUAUCUUGAUGAAAGUCUAUUCCAUUCAAUUCUAUCCAUUUGUAUUUAUUAACACACUUGGCAUCAUUUUUAUACAGAAAGUACUUUGAAAAUGUAUUGAAAAAUUGAGUGUGUGUUUAUGGAAUGCUGUUUCAUCACUGUUAGAAUGGUUCUAUUCUCAUGUCUUCAUCACCUUGA